rnacentral:rRNA from 1 species
UGGGGAAUUUUGGACAAUGGGCGAAAGCCUGAUCCAGCAAUGCCGCGUGUGUGAAGAAGGCCUUCGGGUUGUAAAGCACUUUUGUCCGGAAAGAAAUCCUUGGCUCUAAUACAGUCGGGGGAUGACGGUACUGGAAGAAUAAGCACCGGCUAACUACGUGCCAGCAGCCGCGGUAAUACGUAGGGUGCAAGCGUUAAUCGGAAUUACUGGGCGUAAAGCGUGCGCAGGCGGUUUGCUAAGACCGAUGUGAAAUCCCCGGGCUCAACCUGGGAACUGCAUUGGUGACUGGCAGGCUAGAGUAUGGCAGAGGGGGGUAGAAUUCCACGUGUAGCAGUGAAAUGCGUAGAGAUGUGGAGGAAUACCGAUGGCGAAGGCAGCCCCCUGGGCCAAUACUGACGCUCAUGCACGAAAGCGUGGGGAGCAAACAGGAUUAGAUACCCUGGUAGUCCACGCCCUAAACGAUGUCAACUAGUUGUUGGGGAUUCAUUUUCCUUAGUAACGUAGCUAACGCGUGAAGUUGACCGCCUGGGGAGUACGGUCGCAAGAUUAAAACUCAAAUGAAUUGACGGGGUCAUAGCUGUUUCCU